GGCGGCAUGCCUAACACAUGCAAGUCGAACGAACCCUUCGGGGUUAGUGGCGCACGGGUGCGUAACGCGUGGGAAUCUGCCUUUAGGUUCGGAAUAACUCAGAGAAAUUUGAGCUAAUACCGGAUAACGUCUUCGGACCAAAGAUUUAUCGCCUUUAGAUGGGCCCGCGUUAGAUUAGAUAGUUGGUGGGGUAAUGGCCUACCAAGUCGACGAUCUAUAGCUGGUCUGAGAGGAUGAUCAGCCACACUGGGACUGAGACACGGCCCAGACUCCUACGGGAGGCAGCAGUGGGGAAUAUUGGACAAUGGGGGAAACCCUGAUCCAGCAAUGCCGCGUGAGUGAUGAAGGCCUUAGGGUUGUAAAGCUCUUUUACCCGGGAUGAUAAUGACAGUACCGGGAGAAUAAGCUCCGGCUAACUCCGUGCCAGCAGCCGCGGUAAUACGGAGGGAGCUAGCGUUGUUCGGAAUUACUGGGCGUAAAGCGCGCGUAGGCGGCUAUUUAAGUCAGGGGUGAAAUCCCGGGGCUCAACCCCGGAACUGCCCUUGAAACUGGAUGGCUAGAAUCCUGGAGAGGCGAGUGGAAUUCCGAGUGUAGAGGUGAAAUUCGUAGAUAUUCGGAAGAACACCAUUGGCGAAGGCGACUCGCUGGACAGGUAUUGACGCUGAGGUGCGAAA
rnacentral:rRNA from 1 species